rnacentral:lncRNA from 1 species
UAAAAAUUCAGGUACGAAUGUUUCAAUUAGAGAGGUUCAUGCACAAGUGUUUCAAUCAUGGACAGAAUAAACGAAUCAGAAAAUUAAUUGAGCAGUUUAAAAGUUAAAACAAUACAGAGGCAAACCAAAUCAUUCAAUCGAUACUCCCAUCUCAUUCUCUGCAGUGCCUAAACCCCAAAUCGCAUCACUCUCUGCCUGCCCAAUUGCGUCUCCACCUCCGACCUCUCUGCGUCUCUACCUCCGUUCCACUGACUAUUGGUACGUCAAUUGUUUUGGUUGUUUGUUCUUCAUUCCACGAAUUAAGGCUAGGGUUUGAACAUGUCUAUGGGCAAUUUAAAAAUAGGCAUGAAUUGUACUGAAAUAGGAAUCCAUGACUCAUGAAUUGUUGAAUUAGACUUAGACGAAAACCUCAAUUGAAUUUAUCUAAUAGAUUGUAGUUAACUUUUUUUAGUUUUCUUAUAUCAUAAUAAUCAUCCGUUUGUGGCGGAUUUCAUGUUUAUAGAGGUCAAUUUCAUGUUUAUGGUUUUGAGUAUUUUGAAAUGAAGUGUUUGUGUGCAUAAUGCACAUGAAGUGUUUGAUAAAAUGUCUCACUCUGUAGUCUGUACUAAGAACAGAAUGCAUAAAUUUAGGCUCAUGAAGUGUUCGAUAAAAUGUCUCUUUCAUGUUUUAGCUAUCAAACAGGUGCUAGCUUGCUGGCUUACAUGUGUUGCAUGUUUAUGACGCUAAGCAUUCAACACUAGUUUUGGGUCUGUCAUAUCAUCAAACCAAACGUCUGGAUUUGUACAUUUGACGUGCAGUACCAAAUGUAGUGGAAGAACAUUGUAUUAAAACACAUUUUUGAAAUUUAUUUGAACGACGACGGUUUGGAAAAUGAUCUCGCCAUUGUUUAAAAUUGGCAGCCUUGUUUAAGACUCUUUUCUAGAAUUUUAUAGAAUAUAUAUAUAAACUUGGUAGUUUAAUUACACUGACUUACUGCAAAUAUUUUAUAUUCUGACUGACCCAGAGCUACAUUAUCUGAUAGACCCAAAGCCUUUACUUUUCAAUCAUGUUUUCUUCUCUGUUUGUUUGUGUGUGCCUUUACUUUGAAAUUUAAACGAUUUUUUAUCAAUUAUUUUGUUGGUGUUACUAUUUUCUCAUUUGGGGAUUGUCUGAUUCGUGUAGUAUAUUUUAAAAUAUUUGACUGAUUACUAUAAACCACUUGUAUAGUUAUAGGCAUGGUUUCAAAGGUUUUGCAACCAAGUUGACAGUGGACCAAGCUUCUCAACUGGCUAGCAAGUCUCUCUCUAUUCACUGUUAAUGUUGGACUGUUUGUACUAGUUUAAGGCGGUGAUUGUGGGAUUAUAUGACACUAUGGCAGCAAUUAUUUCUUUAAUAGAAUUAUGUGUAAUUAAUGCUAUGACUUUGAAACAGAGCUAUCAGGAGUAGUAUCAUUAUUUCCAAAUACAAGGAGAAAAUUACAUACUACUCAUUCAUGGGAUUUCAUGGGUCUUUUAUGCGAAGAAACCAUGGAAAUCUUAAGUUUUUCCACCAAGAACCAAGUUAAUGUCAUCAUUGGAUUUAUUGAUAAGGGUAUCAUUAACAAGAAGAGUAAAAUAGGUAACAGAUGAAAACCUCUAAUAGAAAGAUUAUAGGGAAAGUAGUGAACAGAGAUAUUAACCUAAAUUUUGGCCAACUCUGAGUAUCCUGAGGAACAACACUAAUAGAUUUCCAGAGAUUCUCAAGAGUCACCUUCUGAAUAUCUUAACCAUCUAUCCUUACCUGCCAUUUAUUGCAAUGUUACUGGCAAAGCAAAAAGAAAGAGAGAAAAAAAUGACAACUAGCUCAAUAGAGAAUGAUGAGAAAAUAAUUACAACUAUGCUCAUAAACUCCACACAAAGGAAAAUUUGUCCUUCCACCUCGCCUUGAGAAAAAAAAAUCAAAGAUGACUUAAGACCACAAACUAAACCUUAAACAUAGAAAACUACUUUCUCCUAAAACCUUCCAAUUACAUUCUAGGGUAAUGGACCUAAUAGAUUAAAUGAAGCAAAAUACCUUAGCUUUGAGUAACUCAUACUGAUUCAGUCCUGUUUCCAACUACCCAAGUGGCUAAAGAGAACAAGUCAUCACCAAAAUGUAUACCAGAGAAAGAGGAGAGCACAACCAUGUGCAUCAGGGGGUGCCUCAUAAUGCAGAAGAAGUUUAUCUGAUUCUGCAUUCUUUGCAGAUGCAGCACUACCUCCUAAACAAUGCCCCCUUUGUAAAUCAGUUGCCAAUUUGGUGUGAUAGCUUACCGGAGGAAGAAAAGACAUCCUCGAAUGGGACAUGGAAUGCCAUUUGAAGAGCAGAUAGUACAAGAGACCUAGAAAUAUCCUAGACUACCCUAUCCCCACCCCCUUCCUUCCAUUUUUCCAUUUCAAGUCGAACCAAAUUCAUGACUUAGCAAUCCUAUAAAUAAAUCUUUCCAUUAACCUUUCUUUCUGAACAUUAUAAUUUACACAAUGCGAGGAGUAAUUAUCAUUCACAUAUUGAAGAAAAAGAACAUAAUCGGUGAGGCAGAAAAAGAACAUAAUUGAAUUUACAUAUUGCACUUCACGUUGGUGACGUCCAGAAAAAGAACAUAAUUGAAUUUAGAUGGCUACUGUGUAGAUAACAUGUUGUGAUUUUGUAAAGUUUGUUGACUUACCUUUAGAAAGUCGUUUUAAACCAAAUGCCCUAUUACAUUGUUUUGCUUUCAUAUGGGAAUAUUUUUAUGAAGUUUGUUUUUUCCAAAUAUGUAUGGAAGAGAGGCAGCUCAACCUAUUGAAGACAGCAAGACUGCACGUGAUGAAAUCUUUGUCCUACCUUAUGAAUGUUUUGGACAAGCUUGUUGUGGUAAAGAGAAAUGAUGAUCUAGAUACAAAUAUGGGUUUUGAUGUGGCAAAGUAAGUAUUUUCCUCAGACCCAUAAAUUUCAGCAUGUAUGUUACAUUGUUAUUGCUACUACAUUAAUAAAUGGUCGACUCCUAUUUGAUCUAUACAAGUAAUGUCCCACAGAGAGAUGCCUCAUUUUCAAUUUGACCAUAACAAAACAUAUUUAUAUAUAUAUAUAUAUAUAUAUAUAUAUAUAUAUGUCUUUAUAUAUCUUCCUCUGCGAUAUGACAUCUUGUGUAUAGUUUUGUGCAGUUUUAUGUUUUCAAUAUAAAUAGAUAACAUGUUCCAAGGACUUUGACAUAUGUGUUUUAGUGUAAAGUUCUAACAUUGUACUUAUAAGAUGUCACUAAUACUGUACUACAUUAUACAUAUAUCAUUAGGCCUUGUCUUAGUAUAAAAUAUAGUUAUCUGGAUGGAUGUAACAACUUGAUUUUUAAUUAAAACAAAAAUAAGGUUGAGUCCAGCCUCUCUCUAUCUAUCACUCUCUAUCUCAAUCUUUAUCCUUCUUCCCCAUUUUCCAUCAAAAUCCAUUUAAUUCUACUUAAUCUUCUUUAAUAUCCCAUUGUUGAUUACUGAUUGUAUUGAUUCAUCAACCAACUAGUGCCGCAUAUUGUGGAUAUCUUUAUAUGAUAUUUCUACCUAUGAACUAUGUUGACGCGUCAUUACAAUUUUUGUUUUUUAUUUUCAUUCAUUUUGUUGGCAUUUGCUAACAUGUAAAAUAACUAGGCUCCUAGUUAAUAACCUUGCAUGAGGAAAUUUAAUGUUAGGCUUAUUAUAUGUUUAUCAGAUUAUGGACUUAUGUUUUUAGUAGUAGUCUAAGACCUUGCUAAGAUAUUCAAGUGUUUUCAUCAGCUUUUACUUCUACUUCUGCCUAAUCCUUCUAUUAAUAGUAUGUAGCUAUCAAAGAUAAAGUGGGUUUACUCUAUCGACACUUUAUAUGGGAUAUUUGAUGUACUGUCUUUUAUUUGUGUUGUUUAGAGUAGAAUUGAAGGAUACCCAUUUCAUUGUGUUUUUCAUGCUUUUUAUUCCUCUUUUGGUUUUGACUAGAUGCUCAUUUAUUUUUAUUUUGGGAAUUUGACUUAUUAGAUAAAAAAACUAAAAAUAAAUAAAUUUAGUGAUUGGGUUUCUGAUGUAAAAUAUGAUUUUUCAAGCAACUACUCUUUCUUUAAGUCUAAUUGUUUGCUGAUUGAUGUGGAUCCGCAUAUAACCUUUUUUUAGGUUUAGAUGAAAACUCUUUGGGGUAUUUAUUUUUUCUCAAUAUGUGAUCUAUCCAUCAUCGAUAAUUGUGAUAUCCUUCCUCAAUUUUCACUCCAUUUGUAAAUUAUUUGGCUCACUCGUGACAUUUUACUUAGUACUAACCUUUGUCCAUUUUUGAUAUCUUCUUUGUAGGCUUAGCCAAUCUUUCUGUUACAGGUUAGAUUUUGUUUCACAAACGCAGUAUAGAAAAGGUUUUGAAUUCGUCUUAUCAUGCAUUUAUUUUCAUUGAAUUAUUCAGUAAACUAAUAUAGAUUAUAUAUUGUUAUGUGCUCUAGAAAUUCAUACAAAUAUAGCAUAUGUUUUUUGUGGUGUGGAUCAACCUCUCUCCUUUAUCCUACUAUUUCAUGCAUAACUCUGUUAGCCUUAACAUAACUUUGGUGUAGCAUCUAGAGAAAUUACCUCAUUACUUAUUUCUUUUGUUUUCCUCCCCUUAAAUUUUACUAUCUGAUUAACUAUCUUUCUAUUUUUUUCAUAUUUAACAUUUUUCACUUUAUGUAACUGCAGCUAGAGAAAGUAGUUGUGCAACCAACUCCAGUUUCAUGGUGAGUUCUCUGUUCUAGUACUAGUUUAGGAUCAUUGUUUGUUGUCAAAAGAGGUUUUUAUUUUCUUUUCUUUUUUUAAUUUACGUUCCCAUUUUCAUCUUUUUUUUAUUUCUCGUCUUAUUGAAAUUGAAUUUUGGUGUUUCUCUUGCAGCAUGACGUUUACAUGCCCAACCUUGAUUUUCUUGAAGAAAAUGAUGAUGAAGUGGAUCUAACAUGUCACACUUUAUUCCUUCUAGUUCAUUGUUAUUCUUUCAGUUUUCUUAUGUUAGUUAAUAAAUUUUGUAGGUACUAUGGUCCUUGGGAGACCAAGAUACAAUAACAAAUUUGGUAGUUUUUGUGAUUGAGUAUUAUGACCUAUUUAUAUGUGAAGUUUUAAUUUUAUUAGCUCUUUAUGCAUUA